GUGGGGAAUCUUCCGCAAUGGACGAAAGUCUGACGGAGCGACGCCGCGUGAGUGAAGAAGGCCUUCGGGUCGUAAAGCUCUGUCAUCAGGGACGAACGGCCGGUGGAGUGGAAAGCCACCGGAUUGACGGUACCUGAGAAGGAAGCCACGGCUAACUACGUGCCAGCAGCCGCGGUAAUACGUAGGUGGCAAGCGUUGUCCGGAAUUAUUGGGCGUAAAGCGCGCGCAGGUGGGAUCUUAAGUCCAUUUUUAAAGUUCGGAGCUCAACUCCGUGAUGGGAUGGAAACUGGGAGUCUGGAGUACCGGAGAGGAAAGCGGAAUUCCUAGUGUAGCGGUGAAAUGCGUAGAUAUUAGGAGGAACACCAGUGGCGAAGGCGGCUUGCUGGACGACAACUGACGCUGAGGCGCGAAAGCGUGGGGAGCAAACAGGAUUAGAAACCCGGGUAGUCC
rnacentral:rRNA from 1 species